rnacentral:lncRNA from 1 species
UAGGGGGAACUACACAUGAGCACGAACAGACUGGAUGCAGAUAUAGAGGAACUGAAGCAAAGGAUGUACCAGCGGGAUAUGACAAUGGAGGAACUAAAGAAGGUUUUGAACAACGAGGAACGCAAUGAAAAGCUUGAUCAAUUGCACAAGUGGAUGGACAAAUUUGAUGAGGAAGAGGAGAAACUAAAUCAGAUGGUGGAUGAAAAGAUUGGGAGGCUAAGAAAAG